GUGGGCGUAGCUCAGCUGGUUAGAGCGCCAGGUUGUGGCCCUGGAGGUCGAGGGUUCAAAUCCCUUCGUUCACCCCA
rnacentral:tRNA from 1 species